rnacentral:ribozyme from 1 species
GCAUACCAGGCAUUUCGCUCACUAAGUCCUCAAGCCAACCAGAAACCAGCAAGCAAAGCGGCAUGCGAAAUGCCACCAUGGCGACCCUGGAGAAAUCUAUUUGCAAUUGCCCAAUGUCCUCAUAACAACAACAUUGUCAUUCACGGCACUCUCCCAAGAUAUCAAGCCCACCCCGAUCCGCUUACCUGCCACAGUUUAUUGCCCGCGUCAAUUAGCAAUGAAGUUUUCCCACAUAAUCACAGCCGCAACAGUCGCG